AAAUUGAAGAGUUUGAUCAUGGCUCAGAUUGAACGCUGGCGGCAGGCCUAACACAUGCAAGUCGAACGGUAACAGGAAGAAGCUUGCUUCUUUGCUGACGAGUGGCGGACGGGUGAGUAAUGUCUGGGAAACUGCCUGAUGGAGGGGGAUAACUACUGGAAACGGUAGCUAAUACCGCAUAACGUCGCAAGACCAAAGAGGGGGAGCUUCGGGCCUCUUGCCAUCGGAUGUGCCCAGAUGGGAUUAGCUAGUAGGUGGGGUAACGGCUCACCUAGGCGACGAUCCCUAGCUGGUCUGAGAGGAUGACCAGCCACACUGGAACUGAGACACGGUCCAGACUCCUACGGGAGGCAGCAGUGGGGAAUAUUGCACAAUGGGCGCAAGCCUGAUGCAGCCAUGCCGCGUGUAUGAAGAAGGCCUUCGGGUUGUAAAGUACUUUCAGCGGGGAGGAAGGGAGUAAAGUUAAUACCUUU
rnacentral:rRNA from 1 species